UGGGGAAUAUUGGGCAAUGGGGGAAACCCUGACCCAGCAACGCCGCGUGGAGGAAGAAGGUCUUCGGAUCGUAAACUCCUGUCCCAAGAGACGAGAAGAAGACGGUAUCUUGGGAGGAAGCCCCGGCUAACUACGUGCCAGCAGCCGCGGUAAUACGUAGGGGGCAAGCGUUGUCCGGAAUGAUUGGGCGUAAAGGGCGCGUAGGCGGCCCGGUAAGUCUGAAGUGAAAGUCCUGGCUUCAAGUUGGGAAUUGCUUUGGAUACUGUCGGGCUUGAGCGCAGGAGAGGUCAGUGGAAUUCCUGGUGUAGCGGUGGAAUGCGUAGAGAUCAGGAAGAACACCGAUGGCGAAGGCAGCUUGCUGGGGACUUAUCGACGCUCAUGCUCGAAAGUGCGGGUAGCAAACAGGAUUAGAUACCCUGGUAGU
rnacentral:rRNA from 1 species